rnacentral:rRNA from 1 species
UGAAGAGUUUGAUCAUGGCUCAGAUUGAACGCUGGCGGCAGGCCUAACACAUGCAAGUCGAACGGUAACAUUUCUAGCUUGCUAGAAGAUGACGAGUGGCGGACGGGUGAGUAAUGCUUGGGAACUUGCCUUUGCGAGGGGGAUAACAGUUGGAAACGACUGCUAAUACCGCAUAAUGUCUUCGGACCAAACGGGGCUUUUAGCUCCGGCGCAAAGAGAGGCCCAAGUGAGAUUAGCUAGUUGGUAAGGUAACGGCUUACCAAGGCGACGAUCUCUAGCUGUUCUGAGAGGAAGAUCAGCCACACUGGGACUGAGACACGGCCCAGACUCCUACGGGAGGCAGCAGUGGGGAAUAUUGCACAAUGGGGGAAACCCUGAUGCAGCCAUGCCGCGUGUGUGAAGAAGGCCUUCGGGUUGUAAAGCACUUUCAAUUGGGAAGAAAGGUCACGUGUUAAUAGCACGUGGCUGUGACAUUACCUUUAGAAGAAGCACCGGCUAACUCCGUGCCAGCAGCCGCGGUAAUACGGAGGGUGCGAGCGUUAAUCGGAAUUACUGGGCGUAAAGCGCGCGUAGGCGGUUUGUUAAGUCGGAUGUGAAAGCCCCGGGCUCAACCUGGGAAUUGCACCCGAUACUGGCCGACUGGAGUGCGAGAGAGGGAGGUAGAAUUCCACGUGUAGCGGUGAAAUGCGUAGAUAU